rnacentral:rRNA from 1 species
AUUGAACGCUGGCGGUGGGCCUAACACAUGCAAGUCGUACGAGUGGCGGACGGGUGAGUAAUGUCUGGGAAACUGCCUGAUGGAGGGGGAUAACUACUGGAACCGGUAGCUAAUACCGCAUACCAUCGGAUGUUCCCAGAUGGGAUUAGCUAGUAGGUGGGGUAAAGGCUCACCUAGGCGACGAUCCCUAGCUGGUCUGAGAGGAUGACCAGCCACACUGGAACUGAGACACGGUCCAGACUCCUACGGGAGGCAGCAGUGGGGAAUAUUGAACAAUGGGCGAAAGCCUGAUGGAGCAAGGCCGCGUGUAUGAAGAAGGCCUUCGGGUUGUAAAGUACUUUCAGCAGGGAGGCGUUACCCACAGAAGAAGCACCGGCUAACUCCGUGCCAGCAGCCGCGGUAAUUC